rnacentral:rRNA from 1 species
CAGUAGCCGCGGUAAUACAGAGGGUGCGAGCGUUAAUCGGAUUUACUGGGCGUAAAGCGUGCGUAGGCGGCUUCUUAAGUCGGAUGUAAAAUCCCUGAGCUUAACUUAGGAAUUGCAUUCGAUACUGGGAAGCUAGAGUAUGGGAGAGGAUGGUAGAAUUCCAGGUGUAGCGGUGAAAUGCGUAGAGAUCUGGAGGAAUACCGAUGGCGAAGGCAGCCAUCUGGCCUAAUACUGACGCUGAGGUACGAAAGCAUGGGGAGCAAACAGGAUUAGAUACCCCUGUAGUCCCUGUCUCUUAUAA